rnacentral:lncRNA from 1 species
UACAGUUUCCCAAUUUUUCAGAAAAGAAUACUGACAUUUUAAUUUCUGUAAUUCUUCUUCCUUUUGACAUGGACAUUCCUGAACAGUAAAAGCAAAGUAAUGGCUGUCUUUGGUUUCACUCAUGUAUCCAUCCAUUCAUUGAGCUACUGACGUAUCCAUCCAUCCACCCACCUAUCCAUUUACUCAUUCUUCAUUCAACAAAUAUCUUGUAAUUCCUUUAAGAAAGAGUCCAUAGAAAUGUGGACAGAAGAGGAGUAGAAAACUACAGCUAAACAAAAAAAAGAAAAAAAAGAAGCAAGCUACAGUUAACAGUGUGAGGCAGGCUUUUAGAGAGUCUGCCAAUAGGUAGGAAUGGACCUUCUAGAAGAAGGGAAGUAAAUGUCCCACUUCACUUGGAUCACAGGUGAAUUCUGAGUGGGUGUGAAGUAACUGUCAAACAUACACAUCCAGAGGAAAGGCUGGAGUGCUGCAGAAAGUUGAAGCUGUCCUCUGAACAUAUUGAGUUAACUGGUGACGUUUUAUACAGAGAAAGGAAGAUUUAGGACACAUGACAUGGCUGAUUUCAAGUAUUUGAAAGACCAGCUUAGAAAAGCAGAGUGAAUAUGUUCUCCAGCAUCUGAGGAAACAAAACACAGCCAGCAGACGAAAGCUCGAUGAGGGAAGAUUUUGUCUGAUUGUAAAGAGGAGCUUUCUAGCAGUCACAGCGAUGCAGAGACUAAAGAGCUGCUCUGGGAGGUGGUGAGCAUUCUUUCACCAGGGACUCAAGUGGAGGCCACUGAGGGUUGAAAAGGGGAUUCAACACUGGUAGGAUAUUUGAAUCAAAAGAAGAGAAAAGACCCCAGAGUUUCCACGAGCCAUCAGCUGUGUGACGGCAGAGUCUGCCUGGCCUUGAGUGAUUUUCGCUUGCUCCAAGUUGUCCACCACUUUGUCAGGGUUUGAGAGAACAUCUGCUGCUUUCCUAAGUCCACAGGCACCAGAUACGGAGAUCUCUGGACUCAAAAACGCCUGGAGCAGAGUGAAGCAAGCUAGGGAGCCUUUAGCCCUCCGACUGCGCGGAGGCCCUGAGCAGUGGGCUGAAGACAAAUCAGCCGCCUCACCCCAAGGCCUCGGCCCCGCCCGAGCAAUCUCCCCUUUCUCCCCGUCAGGAAUCCGCCCUCCCUCCGGAGCUCAGACCCACCGCACCAUUGUCAUCUCACUUCGGUCACAUUCCUAGGGCAUUGGUGUGUGUUCCUUCCAUUUCUGCCACUAUAUAUUUUAAAAAUAGGUAUUCAUUUUUGUUUAGAUUUCCAAUGUACUACUCAUCAUAGGAAAUUUAGAGUACCAAAAAAAUGUAAAGAAGAAAAAAAUGCACCAGUAAUCCUACUACCUUAGACGAUAUUGGCAUAUUUGAGCAUUUUGUCCUAACUUCUUUUUCCUUUGCAUGACUGAG